CAAGAGCUCUAGACUUGAUACCCACCGUUCUUUUUGCCGGCGGCCCUAAGUCACCAGGUAACUCAUCAUGGCGAUGCCCCCUAAACGGCGGGCAGUGGAGGCCACGGGGGAGAAAGUGCUGCGCUACGAGACUUUCAUCAGUGACGUGCUACAGCAGGACCUGAGAAAGGUGCUGGACCAUCGAGACCAGGUAUAUGAGCAGCUGGCCAAAUACCUUCAACUGAGAAAUGUCAUUGAACAACUCCAGGAAGCUAAACACUCGGAAUUAUAUAUGCAGGUGGAUUUGGGCUGUAACUUCUUCGUUGACACAGUGGUCCCAGAUACUUCAUGAAUCUAUGUGGCCCUGGGAUAUGGCUUUUUCCUGGAGUUGACACUGGCAGAAGCCCUCAAGUUCAUUGAUCGUAAGAGUUCUCUCCUCACAGAGCUCAGCGACAGCCUCACCAAGGACUCCAUGAAUAUCAAAGCUCAUAUCCACAUGUUGCUAGAGGGGCUUAGAGAAAUACAAGGCCUGCAGAAUUUCCCAGAGAAGCCUCACCAUUGACUUUUUUCCUCCAUUCUCUGACAUUAAAGACUCCUAAUGCC